rnacentral:rRNA from 1 species
UACGAAGGGGGCUAGCGUUGCUCGGAAUCACUGGGCGUAAAGGGUGCGUAGGCGGGUCUUUAAGUCAGGGGUGAAAUCCUGGAGCUCAACUCCAGAACUGCCUUUGAUACUGAAGAUCUUGAGUUCGGGAGAGGUGAGUGGAACUGCGAGUGUAGAGGUGAAAUUCGUAGAUAUUCGCAAGAACACCAGUGGCGAAGGCGGCUCACUGGCCCGAUACUGACGCUGAGGCACGAAAGCGUGGGUAGCAAACGGG